GACGAACGCUGGCGGCGUGCUUAACACAUGCAAGUCGAACGGAAAGGCCCUGCUUUUGUGGGGUGCUCGAGUGGCGAACGGGUGAGUAACACGUGAGUAAACUGUCCUUGUCUUUGGGAUAACUUUAGGAAACUGGGGCUAAUACAGGAUAGGAGCUACUGCUGCACGGUGUGGGUUGGAAAGUGUCGGCGGUUGGGGAUGGACUAGCGGCUUAUGCGCUUGUUGGUGGGGUAGUGGCUUACCAAGGCUUUGACGGGUAGCCGGCCUGGGAGGGUGACCGGCCACAUUGGUACUGAGAUACGGCCCAGACGCCUACGUGACGCAGCAGUGGGGAAUAUUGCGCAAUGGGCGGAAGCGUGAUGCAGCAGCGCCGCGUGCGGAAUGACGGCCUACGAGUUGUGAACCGCUUUCGCCUGAGACGAGGCGUGAGUGACGGUAAUGGGUAAAGAAGCAACGGCUAACUACGUG
rnacentral:rRNA from 1 species